UAUUUAUUUAUAUCUUUUUAAGAAUAACAAAAAUCUAUGAAUGAAAAUGUAUGUCCCUCAAUAGCCUGACAAGCUGAUUCCUCUGAUCUGCAGAUCGCCGCAGAUGGUUUUUUUUUUUUUUUGUCGUUGAACUUGGUUUGCUUAACACCCAAUCAGAAGACGAAAAAACGCCAAGGUCAACGAAAGGCAGCCACAUACAAAUUAAGAUCCAUUUGAGUUACAUCUGCCACCACCAGAGGUUCUGAAGGCUCCGGUCCGAUUAGAUUGACAUGGCGACACAGAGGCUGAAAUCUGAUCGGACAAAAAUAUCGACCCGAAACAUCCACGUGCACGUGCUGGAAGCAGCGCGGCCAAGAAAAACACUCCGAAAUGAGGAGACGAGACUCAGCUGCUUUAAGUCUGAAUGUAAAGAGAUGCGUCCAUCAUCUCCAUUUGGGGUGAGUACCGGCUUGUUUUUAAAUUUUUGAGAUGCGGGGACUAACUUCUUUUUACACUUGUGUGGCAGUAAAGAAUGGCGCGGUGCCAAGAAUCGACUCCCCACCCGGAGAUACGCCAUCGUUUCUCUGCCGUUCGUCCCCAAAGAAUUGGUUUAACAAAGCAAGCCAACUCUGACCGGGAAACACGUCUCUUGUCAUCAUCACACAUCAAUAAUCAGCAUCUAUGGGACAGCGGUUACUACAGUGGACAGCUUACACCGAAUGGCGAUCAUGGCAGAAAAAUCGACCGAUUGUCGGAGCAGCUUUGGCAUCAGGUGAGACGUCGCAACGGCGAGUCAGGCAGGUGAGGUUGUUUUCAGCACCUUGGAGAGCGGGAAACAUGCAAAUCUCACCUGCGGGAGAAAAAGAGUCCACAGCCAAGGUUUGAUUGACACUCUCGUCGGGUGCCAUAUGAUCCUGUUCCAGUGCCAGGGAAAGAUUUGCAUGACAAAUGGAUUUUGAAUAUUAUCUUUGACGCUGAGGUGCAAAUUGGCCGUUGCGAAUUCCACCUGUAGGCGAUCCGCUUCACGGAUGAGGCCCGGGUUAUUAUUUCGCAUCACAAGCUGCCACUUCCGGACUUUGCAAGCUCUUGUUUCUUUAUUGGGUUCUAUUUUUUUUUUUCUCCUAAAAGAAAAAAAAAAUCUUCGCCGAGUUCGGUCCUCUUCAUCACCUCGAAUGUUUGCUUUACGCCGCGGUCGUACACCUCCUUAGCGACCCCGCUGCGAGCCGGGAUCCGCCCCGAGAGCUUCCCCGGGACGGGGCGUCUUUUAAACCUGAGCCGCGGUGUCGACGUCCCCGCGGGGGUCAGACCCAUUUAAGCGCAUACCUCGACGUGGGGCCGCUGACGGGAAAAUAAACACGUCGGUCUGGUUACGACCGAGUCGAGGCCUCCCGCUGUUCGCAACCUCCUGUGU